UACGAAGGGUGCUAGCGUUGCUCGGAAUCACUGGGCGUAAAGGGCGCGUAGGCGGCCAUUCAAGUCGGAGGUGAAAGCCCAGGGCUCAACCCUGGAAUUGCCUUCGAUACUGUUUGGCUAGAGACCGGAAGAGGUAAGUGGAACUGCGAGUGUAGAGGUGAAAUUCGUAGAUAUUCGCAAGAACACCAGUGGCGAAGGCGGCUUACUGGUCCGGUUCUGACGCUGAGGCACGAAAGCGUGGGGAGCAAACAGG
rnacentral:rRNA from 1 species